CCCGCUGAACUUAAGCAUAUCAGUAAGCGGAGGAAAAGAAACUAACAAGGAUUCCCGUAGUAACGGCGAGUGAAGUGGGAUCAGCUCAAAUUUUAAAUCUGACACCUUAGGGUGUCCGAAUUGUAUUUGAUAGAGUUUCCUUGUGACCCUUUGGGAUGGCUCAAGUCCUUUGGAAAAAGGCAUCAUAGAGGGUGAAAAUCCCGUCUAGGUCAUUUUGAAGGGUCUCUACCAAGGAGACUCGACGAGUCGGGUUGUUUGGGAAUGCAGCCCAAAAUGGGAGGUACAUUUCUCCUAAAGCUAAAUACAGGCAAGAGACCGAUAGCGAACAAGUACCGUGAGGGAAAGAUGAAAAGAACUUUGAAAAGAGAGUUAAACAGUACGUGAAAUUGUUAAAAGGGAAACGAUUGAGAUCAGUGAUGUUUAUAAUGGUUUCAACCUAGUAUGUCCUCACGGACCUUCUUGGCGUAAUACCAUGUAAACGGGUUGACUCUCCUUUUCGAGUCUGGAUAAGGCUUUGGGUAAGGUGGCUUUACCCUUACGGGUGACGGCUUUAUAGACCCGAGGAGAUACAGACUCUCUUGAAGAGGAGUGAAAGGGACACCCUUUCUCAAGGUGAAUGGGCUAUAUGCCUCUCACCAAGUCAACAAAAUGGUCUUAACCGACCCGUCUUGAAACACGG
rnacentral:rRNA from 1 species